rnacentral:rRNA from 1 species
AACGAACGCUGGCGGCAGGCUUAACACAUGCAAGUCGAGCGCCCCGCAAGGGGAGCGGCAGACGGGUGAGUAACGCGUGGGAAUCUACCCAUCUCUACGGAAUAACGCAUGGAAACGUGUGCUAAUACCGUAUACGUCCGUCGGGAGAAAGAUUUAUCAGAGAUGGAUGAGCCCGCGUUGGAUUAGCUAGUUGGUGGGGUAAAGGCCUACCAAGGAGACGAGCCAUAGCUGGUCUGAGAGGAUGAUCAGCCACACUGGGACUGAGACACGGCCCAGACUCCUACGGGAGGCAGCAGUGGGGAAUAUUGGACAAUGGGCGCAAGCCUGAUCCAGCCAUGCCGCGUGAGUGAUGAAGGCCCUAGGGUUGUAAAGCUCUUUCACCGGUGAAGAUAAUGACGGUAACCGGAGAAGAAGCCCCGGCUAACUUCGUGCCAGCCGCCGCCGUAACAC